rnacentral:rRNA from 1 species
GACGAACGCUGGCGGCGUGCUUAACACAUGCAAGUCGAACGGUAAGGCCCUUCGGGGUACACGAGUGGCGAACGGGUGAGUAACACGUGGGUGAUCUGCCCUGCACUUCGGGAUAAGCCUGGGAAACUGGGUCUAAUACCGGAUAGGACCACUGCCUGCAUGGGUGGUGGUGGAAAGCUUUUGCGGUGUGGGAUGGGCCCGCGGCCUAUCAGCUUGUUGGUGGGGUGAUGGCCUACCAAGGCGACGACGGGUAGCCGGCGUGAGGGGGUGCCCGGCCACACUGGGACUGAGAUACGGCUCAGACUCCUACGGGAGGCAGCAGUGGGGAAUAUUGCACAAUGGGCGCAAGCCUGAUGCAGCGACGCCGCGUGAGGGAUGACGGCCUUCGGGUUGUAAACCUCUUUCAGCACCGACGAAGCGCAAGUGACGGUAGGUGCAGAAGAAGGACCGGCCAACUACGUGCCAGCAGCCGCCGCCG